rnacentral:rRNA from 1 species
GAUGAACGCUGGCGGCGUGCCUAAUACAUGCAAGUCGAGCGAACAGACGAGGAGCUUGCUCCUUUGACGUUAGCGGCGGACGGGUGAGUAACACGUGGGUAACCUACCUAUAAGACUGGGAUAACUUCGGGAAACCGGAGCUAAUACCGGAUAAUAUUUUGAACCGCAUGGUUCGAUAGUGAAAGAUGGCUUUGCUAUCACUUAUAGAUGGAUCCGCGCCGUAUUAGCUAGUUGGUAAGGUAACGGCUUACCAAGGCAACGAUGCGUAGCCGACCUGAGAGGGUGAUCGGCCACACUGGAACUGAGACACGGUCCAGACUCCUACGGGAGGCAGCAGUAGGGAAUCUUCCGCAAUGGGCGAAAGCCUGACGGAGCAACGCCGCGUGAGUGAUGAAGGUCUUCGGAUCGUAAAACUCUGUUAUUAGGGAAGAACAAACGUGUAAGUAACUGUGCACGUCUUGACGGUACCUAAUCAGAAAGCCACGGCUAACUACGUG